CAGGAACCUGGGAGUUUCUGUUUUUGCUCUACUGCCCUGUGAAGAAGGCCUCAGGGUUGAUUGGGGCUGGUUAGACAUUGGCCCCGGAGAGUGUCUCUUUGGAGCCUUCAGAGAGCUGCCUUGGAAGAAUGGCACGCAUGCCUAUUGAAUUUCUCUUUCAGGCUUUUGGGCUCAUUAUGAUUCUGAGGGCAUGUUUUCCUUUGAUUCAGAUCAUAAGUUCCUUGAGAACACUGACUACCUCCCCUGUGCCUCAAGAAGAACCUUGAGCAUGUCUUGCCACGCUCAAAGAAUUUAUCAGCUAUCUGCCAACCUAUUGGAGACGAGUCUCUCCAUAUUUGGUGAGACUGAUGUUCAGCCAUCUGCUGCUGGGACCAAGUCUUCCAGAAUGGGGGCACCUGACCUGGGAAUUGAAGCACAGAGAGACCUUGGACCCAGGAUUGCAGGCAGGAUGGUGCAGUCAGCUAGCUAGCUGGCCCAGUAUGGAAACUGGGAAGCCAAGAUUCUUAGGGCCUGAGGAAGGACUUGGAACUGGGACUGUGCUCCAAAAAAGUGGAGCUAAGCUGUGAAUGUUAUCCUUUUCCCCUCCCCAGAAACUGAGUAAGGAAGAGGAAGAUUUUGACUUGGGGGAAUAAAUUUUUGUGAUACCAUUUUUUAUCA
rnacentral:lncRNA from 1 species